rnacentral:lncRNA from 1 species
AUGCUAUUCAUAUGCAUAAAUACAAAUAAAACACAUUCUCGGCGGGCACAAAGAGAGCCGCCGCUGAAAAGGAACUCGCGCGACAAAAACACCCAGAGUUCCACUGAAAUUGAAAGACUUCAGGUAGAAGACUCUCUAAAUAUAUAUAUAUAUAUAUAUAUAUAUAUAUAUAUAUAUAUAUAUAUAUAUAUAUAUAGAUAUAUUUUCUCCUCCACAGCAUGUCUUGAGUUGGUGAUUAGUCAGUACAAUAAUACGCAGACUGUGUGUUCAUAUUUUCUCUUACUCUCGAACAAUAGAAGUGCAACAAUGCGCGCGCACGCAAGCACAUGCACACACACAAAUACAUCUCACUCUGUUUGACGUUUGAUUCUAUUAUUCCAUCUCACUGUGUCCUAUUCGAGCAUGCACAACAGCCAGACAUUCCUAUUUAUUUAUUCCGGGACUUUUAUAAUCAGCCAUAUCAAGCAUUUGCGGCGCUGCAACGCACUUUCCCUCGUGUCGUACGCGCACGAUAUCAGUUUAACGCAAAGCAUCGCUUUGUUGCCAGCACAACAUAAAAAAAAGCCAGCUCGAUUACAUGUUGGCCUAAUGUAAGAAAAUUGAAAACCCUCCACAAUUCUCACCUUAAGGAAAUGACUUUGAUUUCCAGGUUCAUGGCAUUUCAUUAUUGAUGAGGCAAAGUGAAUUGGUGGAGGUGGUGUCCAAAGACCUACAUUAAGUGCAAUAUUCAAAUUGUCCCCCUCUCUCAGUAUGAGCUGUGACCUUCGGGUGCCAUGAAAGCCAAGCUUAUAACCAAGGCAGUUAGUUUGCCUAAGGCAUAUGAGAUAUAAGCAUAUGUAUAUUGAUAUAUUGAGAUAGUUCAUCCCUCGGCGAUGCAGCGGAGCAGGAUAUAUAUUUAUAUCUAGGUGUCCGGUGGACACAGUGCCUAUGUCCGCUGAUGAGAAUGGGUAUCUGCUCUGUAGCAUGUGGGUGAAUUUACUUGAGGUAGUGUAUGCAGGGGUUUCAAUCUCCCUGCAAACCAUUUGAAUAUAGGCCGCUGAUUUAUUACCUUAUUUGGUCUGUCUUCUGUAUGCAAAUGCAUUAGUGGGGGGCGGCUGGCAGUAAGGUUGAGGGUGGCGGCAGCGCUGGUUCUGGUGGCGGUGGUGAUGGGGGGGGCACACUUUGGUUGUAUGCAUAAUGAGAUUCCCAGGGUCAUCCCUCCGGUGUGUCAGGGACCCAUGGUGAAGCAAGCCUCCAGGGGAUGUAGAAGAAGAUGGGUGGGUUGGGGUGGGAGCUAAGGGGGAGGUUGCAGGGGGAAUUGGACCCCGUUAGGGAAAGUCCCCAGUUGCCCUUCCUACCCCACCACUUCCACCACUCUUCACCCCACCCUCAUAAACUCCUGGCAGACCCUCAGCCAAUCCGUUGCCAGCUCAGUUAGCCCCCACAAUGUAACCCAGGCUGCGCUAAGUGCCUGCCGUGGCUCUUGGCUCAGUGGAAGUGCAUUAGUCCUCAUGACAAUGUAUGCC